AGCUUUGCGCAGAGGUAAUAUCGUAACCAAUUAAGUUCUACUGAGGUGCCAUUAUUGCUAUUUGAAAAAAAUUAAAUUAAGUGAAAAAUUGCAUUAUAUUAAAUUAACUUGAAAAAUAAGAAAUUUUUUAAACAACGGAAACGGU